GCUGCCCUCGGGCCUGGCUCGCCCGCGGGCGGAUGGCUCCGGGUCUCUGCUGCUGAGGAUGUGGCUGCCGGGCGGAGGUCGUCCACUCCCCUGGGCCUUUCUCCGCGAGCCCUCCCACGCCGCCCGCUCCUCUCCCGGGGCGAAGGGCGGGGACGAGGCGCGCCGAAGCCCCGAGCUGAAGAGAAGGGUGGGGGCAUGAGGGCGCUGGAGUGAGGAACAGAUUGGAGCCUUCCCACUUCCUCUCCAAUCUCAGCCCCCGGGAGGAGGGGUGAGGCCCUCGAGGGGGCCCGGAGUUAAGGAGGAAUAGACCGUUUCUCUCUCUCCUGUCUCCCCCGCCUCUGCCCGUCUUCCCUCUAAGCCGGCCUCUAGGUGCAGAGGCUGACGUCCAGGAUGGGGACCGGGGAAGCCUCUGGAGGGUAUAUCCGGGAAGGCACCAAGGCUGAAGUGAGAGCGGUUCUGGGGAAGGCUUUAAAAAGCAGAUAUGGACCAGGGUAGAGUUCGUACGCUGUAGCUUUUCAAGAACACCGAUCUCAUUAAUUAAAGAACAGCAACUAUUUAAUUCCAGUUAUAAACUAUUGUUUUCCAGUUAGUCUGGGUAGGUGUGGCCGUUUGUAGAAUAGUUAGAUUACAUUAGUCUAUUGCGUUGGUACAGUUGUCUAUAGCUUGAGCAUAUAAAAACUCCUGAGCCCAGCAGAAAAGUUACUUUCCAAUACCAGUCUCCAUCCUCCGUGCUUUGGAAGUUGCAUCGUUUUCCGGUUUUUCGUACUCAAAGAACACUGUCAAUUAUGACAGCUCUGUGACCUCUGAAAGAUGCAGUCUAGCACCUCAGUUAAGAAUAUGGACUCUAAAGUCAGACUGCCAGGCUUCAAAUUCCAGUUCUGCGACCUCAGCAAAGUUACUUAACCAAGCUCUCAGUGCCUUGUUUUCUUCAUCUGUAAAAUGAGGAUGACGUCACAGCAUUGUUGAGAGAAUUAAUACAGGCUCCAGACUUGUGAAUGGAGAAGUGUUGAGGUGACCCCAGCUCCAGCCACCAGCUGACGACAACCAUACCGGAGAUCCUGAGAGCUGCCUAGCUGACCCCAGGCACCCCCCAGACUUAUUCAGCACUUAGAAGAAUGCCAGGCAGGCUUUCCCCACCAACCAAGAUGGAAUAACAGGGAAAAGACAUACCCUUCUAUCUUCAAUAAUUGGAAACCCAGACAAAGUUUAUGAAACGCUGGUUUUCAAGACAUAGGACAUCAGACAAUCAAGGACAGUAAACACUGAGAUGGGAAACAAACAAGGAAGCCAUGAAAACUUCAAAACUGCUUCACCACCUGGAGACCAAGCACCCUGCAUUAAAAGACAAGCCUUUGGAGUUUUUCUAAAGAAAAAACAUGAACACAGAGAACAGAAGUAAUUA
rnacentral:lncRNA from 1 species